UACCUGGUUGAUCCUGCCAGUAGUCAUAUGCUUGUCUCAAAGAUUAAGCCAUGCAAGUCUAAGUACGAGCUCUCGUACAGUGAACCUGCGAAUGGCUCAUUAAAUCAGUUAUGGUUCAUUUGAUCGUACAGUUUACUUGGAUAACUGUGGUAAUUCUAGAGCUAAUACAUGCGAGAAGCGCCGACCUCGCGGGAGGCGUGCAUUUAUCAGACCAAAAACCGGCCGC
rnacentral:ncRNA from 1 species